UCCCUGGUGGCUCAGAUGGCAGAGAGUCUGCCUGCAAUGCAGAAGACCCGGGUUCAAUCCCUGCGUCGGAA
rnacentral:tRNA from 1 species